AUUGAACGCUGGCGGCAGGCUUAACACAUGCAAGUCGAGCGGGGGAAGGUAGCUUGCUACCGGACCUAGCGGCGGACGGGUGAGUAAUGCUUAGGAAUCUGCCUAUUAGUGGGGGACAACAUCUCGAAAGGGAUGCUAAUACCGCAUACGUCCUACGGGAGUAAGCAGGGGAUCUUCGGACCUUGCGCUAAUAGAUGAGCCUAAGUCGGAUUAGCUAGUUGGGGGGGUAAAGGCCUACCAAGGCGACGAUCUGUAGCGGGCCUGAGAGGAUGAUCCGGCACACUGGGACUGAGACACGGCCCAGACUCCGACGGGAGGCAGCAGUGGGGAGUAUUGGAGAAUGGGGGGAACCCUGAUCCAGCCAUGCCGCGUGUGUGAAGAAGGCCUUAUGGUUGUAAAGCACUUUAAGCGAGGAGGAGGCUACUCUAGUUAAUACCUAGGGAUAGUGGACGUUACUCGCAGAAUAAGCACCGGCUAACUCUGUGCCAGCCGCCGCAGUAA
rnacentral:rRNA from 1 species